GGUCUCGGGGCGGGGCGUGACAGGUAUGGUAUCAGAGCAAGUUAAGAGCAAGUAAAGAGAGAGAGUCUAGGAUUGACCUAGAGGACCUUAGGUUGGGAAACCGUAAGGUUAUAGGUGCGUGAGUGGAACGUGGACCUAUACGGUGGCGGGAGUUGAUCGAUUGGGUCGAAGUGAUUGUAUGUCUCUAGUCGUGGCUAGAGAUGGAUUCAAGUGGUAUGAGUUCUUGGCUCGAAGUGGUAGUGUUGGGCGGCCGACAACACGACGCCGAGAGUCUAGAAUGAGUACACUUGCGUGCUUCCGCCUAGUUUGCGACGUUGAGUCGCGUAGUUGUGAUUGCAAGCGAGUUGGUGG
rnacentral:lncRNA from 1 species